rnacentral:misc_RNA from 1 species
AACACUGUUAACCUGCGGUACCUGCGGAAGGAUCAUUACAGAGUUGCAAGACUCCCUAAACCAUUGUGAACCUACCUUCUACCGUUGCUUCGGCGGGCGGGCCCAGCGCCCCCCCCGGCCCCCCGCGGGCGCCCGCCGGAGGAUACCCAAACUCUUGACAUUAGUGGCCUCUCUGAGUAUUCUUUACUGAAUAAGUCAAAACUUUCAACAACGGAUCU